AGAGAAUGUUCUUUCUUUUGCUUUUGUUUUGUUAUCAGUAUUCUUUAUAACAAACGAAAAUCAGAAUACGUAUAAAAAAAAAAGAAACCAAUCAAAGGGAAGGGAGAAAAAAAAUGGAGCUUGUGUGGUCCAGGUCUUCCCUCAUUUUCAACUUUUCCUUCCCUACUAUAAUUCCCACCUGUACUGUCUCUCCUCUUAUUUUUCAUAUACUUUUGCUCCCUAAAUCCUCUCCUUUGGAACUCAAAUUUUGCUUUUGCUUUUCACUUUGCUAAGUUUUGCUUCACCCAAAAGUAAUGGAUGGAAAAGGGAAGCUGCGGAUGAUGGGGAAUAUGACGAAGAAGGAAUUAACUGAGCACGGUUGGGAGUCAUCAGAUGAUGAUCUGAAGAUGGGGUGUGUGGAAAGUGAUGUUGAGAGUAGCAAGAAAAAUAAAGUGGUGGCUGGUGGCGGUGGUGGUGGUGGAGGAAGGAUAGGGUUAGGUGGUGGCAGUGGGAGUGGAGGUAUGAGGAGUUGUCAAGCUGAGAAGUGUACGGCUGAUCUGAGUGAUGCAAAGCCAUACCAUAGAAGGCAUAAGGUUUGUGCGAAUCAUGCCAAGGCUCAGAUUGUGCUUGUGGCUGGGAUUAGGCAACGGUUUUGUCAGCAAUGCAGCAGGUUGGUAAUGAUCCUGUUGUGUUCUUUCUUCUUGUUACAUUCUGCAGAAGUAUGAAAUUUUGAGGCUUUAUACCCUAAUUGCAGUCCAUAUUAUUCUAGAACUUUGGCUUAUAAUUGUACCAUUAGAUCAUUCAACAACUUGAAGUUGCUCUUUUUUACUUUAUUUGCUAAUAGGAUUUGAAUUUGACUUGAUCAAACUGGAUUUUAGAUUAAACAAAUAAAAAAGAAAAAAAAGGGAGGUGGUUUUGUCUAAGCUGGUUCCAAGUAGUUGGGAAUUUCUUGUUUGUUGUCUUGCCUUGUCUAUCUUAUAUCUGAAUUGAAGGAUUUAGUCUUUUUCUGCCUAUUUUAAGGGUGCAAUCAUUUAAUUUAGAAAUGAUAUGGUUUUUCAUAGAUCUGCACACAAAAGAAUCGACCUGUAUGGAUUCUUCAAAUGACUGCCUGUUUGAACUUUGUAUUGCAUCACUGUUGUCCACUUCAGCUGUUCUUAAUCUAGUGUCUUGUUGUCUUUGUAUUUGGAUGAUUCUAUGAAUCUUGUUUUAUGUGGCAUCUUAUGCUGUGGAAUGUAAAGUAUGAAAUUUUUUACAUGUGCAUAAAGAUGGAAUCAGCUUUCCCUGGUACUAAUUUUAUAAUUCAUUAAUCACCAUUUCCUCUGUGUCCAUGUUUCACAUCGUCAUAAACUGACACCUGCACAUACGUUAAUUUUCUUAAUCAUAACAUGCACAUAUAUUAGCAUAACUGUCUUCUGCUUCCCAUGUCAUAAAUCGUCAAGGAAUGAGUCCCAGAAUUUUGUUAUUUCUUUUGUCUGAUUGGGAAUGUAGUGUUGCAGGUUUCAUGAGCUAUGGGAAUUUGAUGAAACCAAAAGGAGUUGUCGGAGGCGUUUGGCCGGACACAAUGAACGGCGAAGGAAGAAUGCUGCUGAAUCUCAUACAAAAGGUUCAAGCCACAAAGGGACAGGCACUCAGUUGAAGGAUAUGGUCUGUGGGCAGGUUGAUGAUAGGGGACGAAUUAAGAUAACUAUCCGAGAAAAUGCCACUUACAAGCAUUUCCAGAUCAGAUAAACUGAUUGCUCUUUAGCUUGCUCCCUCUCUUCUGUCAUCCUAGGUGUAGUCUUGUUAUAUAUGUAGAAUAUCAUCAUUGAAGAUUCCUGUAUGUAGGUUAGCCAAAUGCUAACGCAUUGGGGAUUUCACUUCACAGUGGCAGGGUUGCUAGUUCUGGCGCUAGGUUUAUGGUAUUCAGUAUUCUGUGGUUAGUAUGCUUGUAGGUUAGGAUAUGAUUGUUGGCAUUCACUUGGCCAUCAUUGAGUGCUUUGCUUCAUUGAAGUUCCAAUUUUUAAAGUAUAUGGUAUGCAGUAUUCUGUGCAUGAUUCUGUGUCUUAGAUGUUCCUCAUCACUUCUCUUUUAACUAGAAAGACUGGUAAUCAAACUAUUACUGGCGAUUGAGAUGCCUGCCCUUCCCAUGGAUUCAAUGGUCAACCAGGGUAUUUGUGUUCUGCAGCUGUGGUCUUCAGGUGCAGGAAGCUUGAAAGCGCCCGAAAUUUUAAUUGUUGCACUGUCAAAUCCAUGCUUGCUGGUGUUGUUUCUUUCUGCAUGUUGAUCUUUGCUUUGUUGUAAAUCUUGCUCUGAAGGAUUCCAAUCCAUUCUGGUUCUUUCCCCAAAUGCAUUGUGAUUUCUGAAGCUGCUGUAAGGUGGAGUUGAGCCCGUGAUUCUUGUGAAGCUACUUGAGUGGAUUUGUUAGAGUUUAAAAUCCUACUGGAAAACUGUUAUUCCGGGAAAGCAUCAUUACCACUCAUUGGAUAGCAAUUUUGAUUAGGAUAAUCAUCUGCACAUACUCAAAUUUAAUUAUAAUUUGAUAAAAUUUAAUAUGAAUAAAUUAUUUAAGGUAAUGAGUUAUGCCUUUUUCAUCUUUUAAGUUUCCGACUUUUAAGACGCUUCUGGGCCCAACAGUGCUUAGCCCUUCUGUCUUCUUUGUUUCUCUUUUCAUUCUACAGAGAGAAUAGUUGGCCCAACGGUCAUCCAUUUUUCCUGCUCUCUCUAGUAGGCAUCAAUGCCCGCUCAGAAGAGGUUUCA
rnacentral:misc_RNA from 1 species